rnacentral:rRNA from 1 species
AACGAACGCUGGCGGCAGGCCUAACACAUGCAAGUCGAGCGCGCCCUUCGGGGUGAGCGGCGGACGGGUGAGUAACGCGUGGGAACGUGCCCUUCUCUGCGGAAUAGCCUCGGGAAACUGAGAGUAAUACCGCAUACGCCCUUUGGGGGAAAGAUUUAUCGGAGAAGGAUCGGCCCGCGUUGGAUUAGGUAGUUGGUGCGGUAAUGGCCCACCAAGCCGACGAUCCAUAGCUGGUUUGAGAGGAUGAUCAGCCACACUGGGACUGAGACACGGCCCAGACUCCUACGGGAGGCAGCAGUGGGGAAUCUUAGACAAUGGGGGCAACCCUGAUCUAGCCAUGCCGCGUGAGUGAUGAAGGCCUUAGGGUUGUAAAGCUCUUUCAGCUGGGAAGAUAAUGACGGUACCAGCAGAAGAAGCCCCGGCUAACUCCGUG